GGCCCUCCGAGGAAAGCCAUGUGAAGAGGAAGCCCCCGACAAGGACACUGUUGUGAAAAGCUCAGGAACGCUGGAGCCCAACAAAUGCUACCGCCUGGCAGUGCACGCUUUGGAUGCCGAAACACGUGACUGGUCGACUUUCGCAUUCACACACCUUUACUCUAGAAACACUUCCCUCGAAGAGCCCAUUCAGGUCCGCGUGACCAACAAAACAACCGACUCAGCCACCCUUCAGUGGGAGCCCCCAAAAGCCCUCUCGGCGUGCCCCAAUGCCCUGAAGAAAUACAUCAUCUGCUGCAGAGAGGAGCAGGCCGGGGGCG